UUCCAGCCGUUCCUUUUCCAAAAAUUGAGCGCUAAAAACAAAAUCAUCCCUCCCCGGUUCCUAACCCUUUCGCGACUAUUCUACUUCUUGAUAACAAUCAUUCCUAAUCAAAACUGUCACAAACCCUUUUCUCCUUCAAGCUAAACAAACAAAGCAAUCUCCCACAAACCCUAACCCUUUUUUUCUUUAAGCAAAUCAAUCAGAACACAUGAUUCCCUCUCGUUUGUGCUUACCAAUUGGAUCUCCUGUGUAUGCGAAGGUUAACGAAGAAAGAAGGUUAACGAAGAACACUACGCUCACUCGCGAACGAGGGUUUUCGAAGCUCACACAAUUAACUCACUCUUGGUUCUUCUCAUACCAGAGUCCCUCUCGCCAGUCUCUCUCAAGUCGGUCUCGUCACUUGUUAGUUCAACCUGUUUAUCUUUCCUUAUCCAGCACGGUAAGAAAAGAAACUUGAAGCUACACCUGACGGGGCUGAGUUUCAAGAAAAGCUAACUCGUGUUGCCGCAAUAAGUACCCACAAAAUUUUCUCAUAAGCUCCGGUUUGCUUUACAAUUUUAUUUCCAAUUAGGAUAUACUUGGAACAAUUUAUUCGUGCGGUAAACCAUCCUCCAGUGCAGGAACAUAUCAAAGAAAUGCAAUAAAGAUACAAAGGAAGAAAGGUCUCAUGAAUGUAUUGUGGAAUUUGAAAGCGUGUAGAACAUUACUGAGGACUAGUGUAGAACACGGUGAAGGUACCAUUUCGAGCCUAGAUGGCAUAGGACAAAGAACUGCUUUACAAAACUCUGGUGGAGCUAAGAUGUUUGAAAUUGAUGGAGAGCCUCUAUUUGAGACUAAAUCACUGCACGACAUGAUUCAGUUGUUUCACAUAGCUCAGGUAUGACUUGAUAGGAACUAGGUACAAUUCCUUAAAAUUAAGCAGACAUUUAUUGUUUGUUAUUUGCUUUUGAGCCUCUUGAAACAACCUCUUUAUUUGACGAGCAUAGCCCAUCUUAAACAGGUGAUGAUUUGGUUUUAUUGGUAUCUUUAUUGAAGUGGAGGGACGUGUAAAUACAAAUUCUGUUAUGGAUUUAUUUGGGCUAUUUUAGAUGUUCAGGAAUGCUAUUUACAUUGUAGUUUAAAUUAAAUAUAUAAAACUACACGUUCUAACAGUGUCUGUUGACAUGUUUGCCAAAGUAUUGAUGAGAAUAAUAGUGGAACAGUAAACAAGACAUGGACACAUACUAAAUCUAUGAGCUCUUUGUUUUGCAAGCACCAAAAAUAACUUAUGGAUUCAUUUUAUGUUUAUAUGCUGUCAUUGAUGCCCAUAUCUAACACUAAGGUGAAACUGUACCUCUAUUGUUACUCUGGUUGGUGAUUUAUUGUUAGACAAAUGUAAAUAUUUCUAAUUGCGUACAAUUACAUCUUAUAAACUAGGUAGUUUUUUUUAGUGUACAUGUAUUAUCUUGAAAGUGCAGGCAAAAUCGAGCAUGUUGAUUGUGCUAUUAGAGUUUGAACUCAUGUUAGGUGUGAAAGAGAUGUGUUCAUUUUUAAAAUGUUGAAUAAUUGUUUAUUUUUUUGUUGAACCUGUUGAGGUAAGCAUUUAUAAGUUUAUAAUUAUAGUAAAGCGAUAUAUAAUUCACAGCCACUGGUAAAAUAUGUGGUUGAUAAUUGAUACUUUUGACUUAAACUUUUGCUUUCUAUUACCAUUCGACAUGUAAUUUCUUUGGUCUGGUCCAUGUUGGUAUGAGGAAUACUAGAGUCAUCUCUUUAUGCUAGUGGAAGAUGUGUAUUCUACAAGGAGUCUCUCUGCUGCUUCUGGUAUGAUCAAGAAUUAUUACGAGCUGUAGGGAAGAUUCUGUUCAUGAAUGAAAUUGAUAAUUCUCAAUCAUAUUAGUCAUUUUGGUUAAGUCAAUUGACCUUGAGAAAUGAUCUCAAAAUGAGUAACAAGCUUGAGAAUUUUCAUAUUCAGAAAUCAUUUUGGAAUUUUAUUAGAUUUAGGGACCAAUGGCAAUGGAAACGAUCAUUUCUAAAUUACAAGAUUUUCAAAUAUAGGGACCAAUGGCAAUGAUAGUGUUACUUUGACGAGAAUUUUCACAUUCAACUAAUUAACCUUAAAUCAUUAGCUAAUAUAUAUUUUCUUAAUUUCAAGUUAUUACUUUAGUCUAAUGUUGAUGAUUAUUUUGCCUUUUUUGU